CCAAGCUAAGCACUUAGCAAAUCAUCACUACUACUUAGGGCACCUGAAAAUGGAUGCUGGGAUCCCAGCGGACUCACAUCCUGUGCCAGAGCAGCGAGUUCUUUAACCACGGUGCCAUCACUCCAGCCCGAAUUAUUAUUACUUUUUAAAGGGCCCAUCGAUCUAAAACUUGUCCGAACAAGAGCUCUCAGGAAGCACCCGGGAAUCGAGCGUGUUCUCUUGCUCACGGACGGGUUUAGUAGCUGCUACGCCUACUUCCAAAAACUCCCGUGAGACCUGCCAGGAUGCCCUCCUCCUACGGGGAGGAUGGAAGGACCGGGCCUUGAGCCAAGGAAGCGCCAGCUGGGUAGGAAAUCCCCACCUGUGAUUACUGGGGUACUCAUUAAUCCAGGAUUGUUGGGAGAAAAAGAAGAAACCGAAGCUGGUUUGACACAGAAUUCUGCUUAGAAUCACAUGAGGUCCGCAGAUGCCAAAUCCUGUUAAAGAGUCUAGGGUAAAUCUGCAGCGUGCUCAGUUCCACCCACCCCCACGCCCACUCCCACACACCCACCCCCGCAUCGGAUGUAGCCAAAGCCGCAGCUUGGAGAGCUCAGCUCUGCCCCCCUGGGAUAAGGAAGAAGAGGGGGCAGGGACACCUAUGUCAGAGCAUGCAGGUGGGAGUCAGAGGACAACUCGAAGGGGUCCAUUCUCUCCUUCUGCCAUAGACUCUCAUUGGCCUGGAACUUACCAGAAAGCUUCAGGAGGCCACCUGCCGCCACCUCUGCAGCCUGUGGUUGCAAGCAUGAGCAACCACGUGUUUUUGUUUUAAAUACCAGUUUCGGAGAUUGAAUUGAAGACCUAAGGCUUGCCCACAAGCAUUUACCAACUGAACUGUCACCUACGACACCCUGCCUUUUAGAGACAAGGUCUUGCCAGGUCACAGUUCAUCAUCGGGGGACACCAAGGCAAGAACUCA
rnacentral:sRNA from 1 species